ensembl:snRNA U6 U6 spliceosomal RNA
GUACUUCUUUUGGCAGCACAUAUACUAAAAUGAAAACAAUACAGAGAUUAGCAUUGCCCCUGCACAAGGAUGACAUGCAAAUUCAUGAAGUAUUCCAUAUUUUU